UUCCAGACUCCUACGGGAGGCAGCAGUGGGGAAUAUUGCACAAUGGGGGAAACCCUGAUGCAGCAACGCCGCGUGAGUGAAGAAGUCAUUCGUGAUGUAAAGCUCUAUCAGCAGGGAAGAAAAUGACGGUACCUGAGUAAGAAGCCCCGGCUAACUACGUGCCAGCAGCCGCGGUAAUAUGUAGGGGGCAAGCGUUAUCCGGAAUUACUGGGUGUAAAGGGAGCGUAGACGGUGAUGCAAGUCUGGAGUGAAAGGCGGGGGCCCAACCCCCGGACUGCUCUGGAAACUGUAUGACUUGAGUGCAGGAGAGGUAAGCGGAAUUCCUAGUGUAGCGGUGAAAUGCGUAGAUAUUAGGAGGAACACCAGUGGCGAAGGCGGCUUACUGGACUGUAACUGACGUUGAGGCUCGAAAGCGUGGGGAGCAAACAGGAUUAGAUACCCCGGUACA
rnacentral:rRNA from 1 species